GAUGAACGCUGACAGAAUGCUUAACACAUGCAAGUCAACUUGAAUUUGGGUUUUUAACUUAGGUUUGGGUGGCGGACGGGUGAGUAACGCGUAAAGAACUUGCCUCACAGCUAGGGACAACAUUUGGAAACGAAUGCUAAUACCUAAUAUUAUGAUAAUAGGGCAUCCUAUAAUUAUGAAAGCUAUAAGCGCUGUGAGAGAGCUUUGCGUCCCAUUAGCUAGUUGGAGAGGUAACGGCUCACCAAGGCGAUGAUGGGUAGCCGGCCUGAGAGGGUGAUCGGCCAAAAGGGGACUGAGACACGGCCCUUACUCCUACGGGAGGCAGCAGUGGGGAAUAUUGGACAAUGGACCAAGAGUCUGAUCCAGCAAUUCUGUGUGCACGAUGAAGUUUUUCGGAAUGUAAAGUGCUUUCAGUUGGGAAGAAAGAAAUGACGGUACCAACAGAAGAAGUGACGGCUAAAUACGUG
rnacentral:rRNA from 1 species